AAAGUCGUAACAAGGUUUCCGUAGGUGAACCUGCGGAAGGAUCAUUACCGAGUAAGGGUGUCUAAUACGCGCCCGACCUCCAACCCUUUGUCUACUUAACCAAAAUGUUGCUUCGGCAGGCCCGCCCCCUCCCAUGUACUGGAGAGGAGGCCGCCGGGGGUCCUUACACGACCUCGGGCCCGUGCCUGUCGACGGCCCCAACCAAAACUAUUGUUAAAACGUGUCAUCUGAGUUAUCUAAACAAAUGAAAUUAAAACUUUCAACAACGGAUCUCUUGGUUCUG
rnacentral:misc_RNA from 1 species